GGCCGCCAGCUGCCCGAGGCGGCGGCCGCCGGCGGCCGACCGGUGCGCGAGCGGCUGGCCGAGCUGCAGAGCCAGUGGGACGCCGUCUCCGGCCGGCUGGUGGCGCUGCAGUCGCAGUUGCUCUCCGUCGCCGGUGACGAGGACCAGCCGGACGGCGCGCUGCCGGACGACGAGGAGAGACGCAGCAUGCUGGCGCGGACCGCUGGCCUCCUGUGGCGCGUGGCUCGGGUGGCGCUGCCCGUGCAGGCCCUGCUUCUGCUCGGCCUGGCCGUCCUGGCCCUGUACCCGGUCUGCGAGUCCGGCGCCGACUGCAGCAACGGCUCCAACAACUUCGCCGCCAGCGUGCAGACCAUGCUGAACUACCCCGGAGGCGCGCCGCCCAUGUAGAGGUGGCGCUGGCGCCGUCCUUACCGACUCGGGAGAGGCGGUCGACGUCGGAGCGAGACGACCGAAGGCUGUACGGUGUGACAUCUGUGAUGGAAGUGCUCUCGAGCAGAGGUAAACGUGAUCAGGUGACGUGCGUACCGUGUACUUGUCAUUCUUCGCUUCGCUUCGGGACAACGCCGCUAGUAUCUGUGUACAAUAUAACCGAUGGCCCGGCCGGCUUAGACGCCAGCUGCUCUGCUUCGAUGCCUUAGCGGCUUCCGCCGCGUUGCAGCCCGCUCUGUCGACAUCUGUUCUGUUUCUGGUGGUGCGGGCGUAGUGGGUGCUUUCUGCGGUUGAGCGUCGAGUGUAGCUAGUCGAGGUCAGGUCAGGUCGCAGCUCUCCCGGCGAGCGGCGGGAGGCUGUCCUGCAGCGUGUGGGGUCCUGAGAGGCCGCUCCGUCGGUACGUCGGCUGUGUUACGGCGGCCCCACCACUGUUCCGUCGCAUAUUUUCGCAAAUAUAUGUUUGUAGUACACUCGC